CCUCUCCCGCGGCCAUCGGCGACUGCAGGCAGGGGAAGCGACAGGCAAGUUUCUCGCCUCUGCGGAGAAACUUGCACCUGCGUGCCGCCGCAGGGCCGGGUUCGGAUGUGCCCUGGCAUUGCACACGCACCACACCCCCCCGCGGGGAGGGUGUGCGCUGCCUCGGGGACCCUGUGUGUGCUGCCGGGAGAGAGAAAUCCUUUGGGAAGCUGGGCUGGAAACAGCAACUCUGUGAACUGCUCAGCUUUUCCUAGGUGACGAAGCUUAUGGAAAAAAAGACCAAAGGCCUCGAGGGAUGUUCUUCUUGACCCCCCGGGGCAAACGGAGGUGUCAGCGUCAGGAGCCAUCCUACCUGAGGCCCCGGUAGGCUCCCUGUUUCCCUUUGGUCGCCGUGGGUGUGCCGGACGCCUCUGGCAGGACUAACCCUGUGGCUUUUAUGUCCAACGUGCUGUGCUGUGUGUGCCUGCAGGUAAGAAAAGCUGGGAGUGCAGUCCCUCUGCUUUGAUUGCUGUGUCUCUUUGGGAGUUCUUUCGGAG